CCUACGGGAGGCUGCAGUGAGGAAUAUUGGUCCAUGGGCGCGAGCCUGAACCAGCCAAGUCGCGUGAGGGAUGACGGCCCUACGGGUUGUAAACCUCUUUUGCCGGGGAGCAACGGGCGCCACGUGUGUCUCCACUGAGAGUACCCAUAGAAACAGCAUCGGCUAACUCCGUGCCAGCAGCCGCGGUAAUACGGGGGAUGCGAGCGUUAUACGGAUUUAUUGGGUUUAAAGGGUGCGUAGGCGGAUCGUUACGUCAGUGGUCAAAUGUAGGGGCUCAACCCCUUCCCGCCAUUGAAACUGGCGCUCUUGAGUGGAAGAGAAGUAUGCGGAAUGCGUGGUGUAGCGGUGAAAUGCAUAGAUAUCACGCAGAACCCCGAUUGCGAAGGCAGCAUGCCGGCUUCCGACUGACGCUGAAGCACGAAAGCGUGGGGAUCGAACAGGAUUAGAUACCCCAGUAGUC
rnacentral:rRNA from 1 species